GCGGUGGCCACCACGCUUCGAAGAGCCGCGGGGGUGUACAAGCACGCGUCAACGCAGGUUCUCCCGUCCCUCGUCCCCGAGCUGGACGCGGAGAGGCCGAACGAGCUGCUGCCGUCCAUGGCCGAGUGCAUGUACUGCGUGUGCCUCGCCGAGGCGCAGGCGGCGACGGCGAGACGCGCGGAGGAGCGGGGCACAAACGGGGAUCUCGUCGCCAAGCUCCACCUCGGCGCGCACGACCUGUACAAGCGCGCGGAUGCGAUCCUCAACGAGAAUAUCCGAGACUUUAACCGCAUAAGCCGCAAGCUGCAGGCGUACAUCCUGCUCGGCGCGAGCGUCCACAGGGCGAGGGCGUACAGGUGCGCCGCGG
rnacentral:lncRNA from 1 species